rnacentral:rRNA from 1 species
AUUGAACGCUGGCGGCAGGCCUAACACAUGCAAGUCGAGCGCGCGCCGCACGGGUGUGUAUUGUCUGGGAAACUGCCUCAUGGGGAGGGGUAACUACUGGAAACACGGGCUCAUACCCCGUACGAUCAGAUGUGUCCAGAUGGGGUUAGCUAGUAGGUGGGGUAAUGGCUCACCUAGGCGACGAUCCCUAGCUGGUCUGAGAGGAGGACCAGCCACACUGGAACUGAGACACGGUCCAGACUCCUACGGGAGGCAGCAGUGGGGAAUAUUGCACAAUGGGCGCAAGCCUGAUGCAGCCAUGCCGCGUGUGUGAAGAAGGCCUUCGGGUUGUAAAGCACUUUCAGCGGGGAGGCGUUACUCGCAGAAGAAGCACCGGCUAACUCCGUGCCAGCCGCCGCGGUAAUAC